rnacentral:lncRNA from 1 species
AUGCCAAACAACACCAUUAAAAGAUGUUUCUGGUUUCUUCUAGCUCUAACAUCCUACAACUCUUCAGCAACUGCUGUGAGGAAAAUAAUCAGAUUUUAUCAGAACAGAUCCAGUUUCUCACCUUUAACUCUGAUGUGGGAGAGUUAACUGAUACAAAGAAAUAACAUGAAACAAAAUUGGACUUUUUCAUCAGUUGGAGAAAUUGCAACUUGUGUUUAUCUAGCUGUUAUGACAUGCAAAAUAUUUUCUCAUGGCUUGGAAUUAAAAGGGAGUCAGAUGAAAUUGUGAGUAUUUGUUGAAAUCCUUGAAAAAGCUUUUAAAUGGUAGGGAAAUGCAAGUGGUAAAUAAACAGCCAUUAGGAAAUCAUGCAGAGAGAAAUUCCCAGAAACUGAAGGAUGUGGGGAAACCAGAGUGGGAAUUAGUAACAGAAAGAUUAGAGUGCACAUAGCAAUGGUGAUAAUAAAGCAGUGAGAAUAAUGCUUCCUCAGAUACCAAAUACUCUCCCCCAUUUUCAGAGAUGUGCAGUGAUCUGAGUACUG